rfam:Oryza meridionalis cultivar OR44 (W2112) chromosome 12, whole genome shotgun sequence.
GGCUGAUCUUCCCCAAGAGUCCACAUCGACGGGAAGGUUUGGCACCUCGAUGUCGGCUCUUUUCCACCUAGAGCUAUAGGUGGUUCCAAUGGCUGGGCUGUUCGUCCACUAAUGCGGUAUGUGAGCUGGGUUCAGAACGUCGUGAGACAGUUC